CCUACGGGUGGCAGCAGUGAGGAAUAUUGGUCAAUGGCCGGAAGGCUGAACCAGCCAUGCCGCGUGAAGGUCAGUGCCCUAUGGGCGUUAAACUUCUUUUGUGCGGGAGCAAUAAUGGUCACGUGUGGCCAGACGAGAGUACCGUACGAAUAAGCAUCGGCUAACUCCGUGCCAGCAGCCGCGGUAAUACGGGGGAUGCAAGCGGUAUCCGGAUUUAUUGGGGUUAAAGGGGGCGUAGGCUGUGAGGUAAGUCAGCGGUGAAAUGCCCCCGAUCAACGGGGUGAAGUGCCAUUGAUACUGCCUAGCUUGAAUGCGGAUGCCGUGGGAGGAAUGUGUGGUGUAGCGGUGAAAUGCAUAGAUAUCACACAGAACACCGAUUGCGAAGGCAUCUCACGAAUCCGCGAUUGACGCUGAUGCACGAAAGCGUGGGUAUCAAACAGGAUUAGAUACCCGUGUAGUC
rnacentral:rRNA from 1 species